rnacentral:rRNA from 1 species
AGAGGUUGAUCCUGGCUCAGGAUGAACGCUGGCGGCGUGCCUAAUACAUGCAAGUCGAGCGAACAGACGAGGAGCUUGCUUCUCUGACGUUAGCGGCGGACGGGUGAGUAACACGUGGAUAACCUACCUAUAAGACUGGGAUAACUUCGGGAAACCGGAGCUAAUACCGGAUAAUAUAUUGAACCGCAUGAUUCAAUAGUGAAAGACGGUUUUGCUGUCACUUAUAGAUGGAUCCGCGCCGCAUUAGCUAGUUGGUAAGGUAACGGCUUACCAAGGCAACGAUGCGUAGCCGACCUGAGAGGGUGAUCGGCCACACUGGAACUGAGACACGGUCCAGACUCCUACGGGAGGCAGCAGUAGGGAAUCUUCCGCAAUGGGCGAAAGCCUGACAGAGCAACGCCGCGUGAGUGAUGAAGGUCUUCGGAUCGUAAAACUCUGUUAUUAGGGAAGAACAAAUGUGUAAGUAACUAUGCACGUCUUGACGGUACCUAAUCAGAAAGCCACGGCUAACUACGCGCCAGCAGCCGCGGUAAUACGUAGGUGGCAAGCGUUAUCCGGAAUUAUUGGGCGUAAAGCGCGCGUAGGCGGUUUUUUAAGUCUGAUGUGAAAGCCCACGGCUCAACCGUGGAGGGUCAUUGGAAACUGGAAAACUUGAGUGCAGAAGAGGAAAGUGGAAUUCCAUGUGUAGCGGUGAAAUGCGCAGAGAUAUGGAGGAACACCAGUGGCGAAGGCGACUUUCUGGUCUGUAACUGACGCUGAUGUGCGAAAGCGUGGGGAUCAAACAAGAUUAGAUACCCUGGUAGUCCACGCCGUAAAC